CUAAGAGCUGCUCUAAUUAAAGCGUCCACCCCGGAGCAGGCGAUUAGACACCCUAAUGGUACAAAGAAUCACUGAAUCCCAUUAUUAAACCCAAGACAGAGAUUCCAGGAGGGAGAUGAAAGGUCCUGCAUGCACUCUGGGAAAUUUCUGCAUUUUAGUAUGCAGCUGCAAUAUGAUUUAAGCAGUUUAUUUUCACCAUAGAUGCCAAUUAAUGAAUGGUGUUCCUCAGGCAUUGCAAAAGCUGGCAGUGUUCAAGGGUUUUGUAAGUUCUGGGGGAAAAUGUUGCAAUCCAGCUCCAGAAUAUGUUAUCUUUUCAGAGUCAACAAAACCAAACUAAAUAUCUGCUCAAACUGAAAGUGAUUAGACUUUUCUCAAGUGGCUCCUCUGUGCCCCACUGUCUCAAGACUAAUUAAAUUGAAGAUCUUUUGCUGCAACAUCUUCCUUUUUGCUGCAACAACUUCCCAGGCAGUUCUAAACAACAGAAGCACAGCAGAUCCCAUGAACUUCAUGAAUCCUUUUUUCCCGAUUUCCUGGUUUUCUACUACAAAGUGGACGCAUCUACAAUUUGAAGCAAUAAACUGCAGCACAUAUUGCACUGGAGUUUAUUACUCCCGGGUAUGCUGUUUGAAUGUGCACCCAAAACCACAGCAUACUGAACUGGGUCGAAGUAGCCUCAGCUGGCAGGGGACCCUGGGGGGUCAGCCUGCCAGCCCCAGGGCUGUUCCUGCCUGGCUUAACAUACUGUUGAGGGGCUAGCUGGGGCAUGAGGGUGCUUGAGUGUGGGAUCAACCAGCAGGCAGCCUCUGCACCGAAGCACCCUUGUGCCCCAGCCAACUGGGUCAGUGUCUACACAUGUGUUUGUAAAUACAAGUACUACCCUACUAUGGAGUUUAUUAGUUACUGCAGCCUAAUAAAGCUACACAUGUAGGCA
rnacentral:lncRNA from 1 species